rnacentral:tRNA from 1 species
GGGGUGGUGGCGCAGUUGGCUAGCGCGUAGGUCUCAUAAUCCUGAGGUCGAGAGUUCGAGCCUCUCUCACCCCU